rnacentral:rRNA from 1 species
UACAGAGGUCUCGAGCGUUAGGCGGAAUCACUGGGCUUAAAGCGUGUGUAGGUGGGUCGUUAAGUACCUUGUGAAAUCCCAUGGUUCAACCAUGGAACUGCUGGGUAUACUGGCGAUCUUGUGCAACCUAGGGGCGAGCGGAACAGAUGGUGGAGCGGUGAAAUGCGUAGAUAUCAUCUGGAACGCCAAUGGUGAAAACAGCUCGCUGGGGUUUGCAGACGCUGAGACACGAAGCCAGGGAGCGAACGGGAUAGAUGACC